UGAAUAGAUUAUUAUCAAAGUUUGAUUUGAAAUUAUUCUGUUGUUGAUGAUAUUUAUGAUGAUGUUCUGUUGAUUUACAUUGGCUUCUUGAAUUGAAUUAGAGAAUUGGAUUAUUGUUUUUAUAUAAACCUGUGGACCAGAUUCGUGGUCAUGUUAGGCCAAUGAGUGCCUUGGAUCCAGUGAUAGAGCAUGGCGGGGCCUGCUCGGGGUUAGGUAUGUCUGAUCAGCAUCCUAACCUUGGUUUUAAUUAAAAUGUGAUAGUCCAAUUCAAUAAUUCUUUUGGAAAGAUUGAAUUCCUCAGUGUUCAAUUGCUACAAGGUAUUGUGAUAUUCUUAUACAAUACCUAAACUCGUGAACUCAGGUUGAAUCCUUUUAUAUCUUGAACUCGUGAACUUCUGUUAUAUCAUUUCAGAAUUAUCAUUGUUAUUAUUACUUGCUGAGCAUUGUUGCUCACCCUUGCUAUUCCUUUCUAACCAUUUCAGAAAGGCUUAAAGAUGAGAUGAUUACUUGAGAUUGUGAAUAAGGCUAAUGCUAGGCGAGGAGACAGAGUUUAGGAUCCAGUGGUUGAGGAGUGUUCAGGAAAGUUGAUGAGGUUGGGGCAAGCUAGAGCUGUGCUAUAGGGUUUCAAGUGUAAGUCAUAGCUGGAAUAGUUGACAGUGAUUCCUCUUAUCGAAGAUGAUCUGAUUUG
rnacentral:lncRNA from 1 species